rnacentral:rRNA from 1 species
CCUACGGGCGGCAGCAGUGAGGAAUAUUGGUCAAUGGGCUUACGCCUGAACCAGCCAAGUCGCGUGAGGGAAGACUGCCCUAUGGGUUGUAAACCUCUUUUAUCAGGGAGCACAAGCCGGACGUGUCCGGCUGUGAGAGUACCCGAAGCAAAAGCAUCGACUAACUCGGUGCCAGUAGCCGCUGUAAUACGGGGGAUGCGAGCGUUAUCCGGAUUUAUUGGGUUUAAAGGGUGCGCAGGCGGGUUUUUAAGUCAGCGGUCAAAUCGUGGGGCUCAACCCCAUCCAGCCGUUGAAACUGGGGAUCUAGAGUGUGCGAGAGGUAUGCGGAAUGCGUGGUGUAGCGGGGAAAUGCAUAGAUAUCACGCAGAACCCCGAUUGCGAAGGCAGCAUACCGGUGCACAACUGACGCUCAGGCACGAAAGCGUGGGUAUCGAACAGGAUUAGAUACCCUAGUAGUC